rnacentral:lncRNA from 1 species
CAACUUAUAUAUUUAUUGUGAUUUGUAUUUAGAUUAAUUUUAAUCUGAUUUGACCUGAAAAUGGUUGAUAGAUCAGUGACUAAUAAUAAUAUUAUAUCGGACCGUCCAAUCCAGUGGAUUAGAAUUGUGUUUAUUUUUUUUUAUCCGACUUACAUAUGGAUUAGAUUUGCAUUGUGCCUAUCUGAUCAACUUGCAGCCUUUAUAUCACAGCAG